CACGUAGGGUGCGAGCGUUGUCCGGAAUUAUUGGGCGUAAAGAGCUCGUAGGCGGUGUGUCGCGUCGGCCGUGAAAACUUGGGGCUUAACUCUGAGCGUGCGGUCGAUACGGGCAUCACUUGAGUUCGGCAGGGGAGACUGGAAUUCCUGGUGUAGCGGUGAAAUGCGCAGAUAUCAGGAGGAACACCGGUGGCGAAGGCGGUGGGCUGGGCCGGCACUGACGCUGAGGAGCGAAAGCGUGGGGAGCGAACAGG
rnacentral:rRNA from 1 species